UACGGAGGGUGCAAGCGUUAUCCGGAUUCACUGGGUUUAAAGGGUGUGUAGGCGGGUAUUUAAGUCAGUGGUGAAAUCUCCGGGCUCAACCCGGAAACUGCCAUUGAUACUAUUUAUCUUGAAUAUUGAUGAGGUAGGCGGAAUACAUCAUGUAGCGGUGAAAUGCUUAGAUAUGAUGUAGAACACCGAUUGCGAAGGCAGCUUACUAAACAAUCAUUGACGCUGAGGCACGAAAGCGUGGGGAUCAAACAGG
rnacentral:rRNA from 1 species